rnacentral:rRNA from 1 species
UACGGGGGGAGCAAGCGUUGUUCGGAUUUACUGGGCGUAAAGGGCGCGUAGGCGGCCAGCGCAAGUCAGUUGUGAAAUCUCCGGGCUUAACUCGGAACGGUCAACUGAUACUGCGCGGCUAGAGUGCAGAAGGGGCAACUGGAAUUCUCGGUGUAGCGGUGAAAUGCGUAGAUAUCGAGAGGAACACCUGCGGCGAAGGCGGGUUGCUGGGCCGACACUGACGCUGAGGCGCGAAAGCUAGGGGAGCAAACGGG